CCCUUAGAUGUUCUGGGCUGCACGCGCGCUACACUGAUGCAUCCAACAAGUUUUUUCCUUGUUCGAGAGGACUAGGUAAUCUUAUGAGAAUGCAUCGUGAUGGGGAUAGAUUAUUGCAAUUAUUAAUCUUCAACGAGGAAUUCCUAGUAAGCGCGAGUCAUCAGCUCGCGUUGAUUACGUCCCUGCCCUUUGUACACACCGCCCGUCGCUACUACUGAUUGGAUGUUUAAGCGAGGUUCUCGAACUGCUAGCGACUUAGCUUCGGUGAGGUCGCAGUGUGGGAAGUGAACCUAGCUUUGGUGUCUAGAGGAAGUAAAAGUCGUAACA
rnacentral:rRNA from 1 species